rnacentral:lncRNA from 1 species
GUCAGAGGUCAGUGUGGGGGAGGGGAUUUUUGGGGGUUUGGGAUGAAGAUGAUGAAGAGAAAGACGGAGAUGAAGAUCAGGAUGAAGAGGAAAAUGAUGAAGAUGAGGAUGAAGAUGAGGAUGAAGAUGAAGAUGAAGAUGAAGAUGAAGAUGAAGAUGAGGAUGAAGAUGAAGAUGAAGAUGAGGAUGAAGAAGAUAAAGAUGAAGAUGAGGAUGAAGAUGAGGAUGAAGAUGAGGAUGAAGGUGACGAAGGCUCACCAGUAGAAGACGCAGGCCAGCUCCAUCCAGCUGAGGGCGCUCCGGUCCUGCCGCAGCCACCGCAGCCCCUCCUGGGCGAAG